AGAGUUUGAUCAUGGCUCAGGAUGAACGCUAGCGGCAGGCUUAAUACAUGCAAGUCGAGGGGCAGCACAGGUAGCAAUACUGGGUGGCGACCGGCAAACGGGUGCGGAACACGUACGCAACCUUCCCAAAACAGGUGAAUAGCCCUCCGAAAGGAGGAUUAAUACACCGUAACAUAAUUAAGUGGCAUCACAUGAUUAUUAUAGAUAGCAAUAUCGGUUUUGGAUGGGCGUGCGCCUGAUUAGGUAGUUGGUAGGGUAACGGCCUACCAAGCCUUCGAUCAGUAACUGGUGUGAGAGCACGACCAGUCACACGGGCACUGAGACACGGGCCCGACUCCUACGGGAGGCAGCAGUAAGGAAUAUUGGUCAAUGGACGCAAGUCUGAACCAGCCAUGCCGCGUGAAGGAUGAAGGCCCUCUGGGUUGUAAACUUCUUUUAUCUGGGACGAAAAAAGGGGAUUCUUCCUCACUUGACGGUACCAGAGGAAUAAGCACCGGCUAACUCCGUGCCAGCAGCCGCGGUAAUACGGAGGGUGCAAGCGUUAUCCGGAUUUACUGGGUUUAAAGGGUGCGUAGGUGGGUAGGAAAGUCAGUGGUGAAAUCUUCGGGCUUAACCCGGAAACUGCCAUUGAUACUAUUUAUCUUGAAUACUUUGGAGGUAAGCGGAAUAUGUCAUGUAGCGGUGAAAUGCUUAGAUAUGACAUAGAACACCAAUUGCGAGGCAGCUUACUACACAGUUAUUGACACUGAGGCACGAAAGCGUGGGGAUCAAACAGGAUUAGAUACCCUAGUAGUCC
rnacentral:rRNA from 1 species